rnacentral:rRNA from 1 species
UACGGGGGGGGACUAACGUUAUUCAUCAUAACUGGGCGUAAAGGGUACGUAGGUGGCUUUUUUAAGUCUUAAUCAAAGAAUCUAAGCUUAACUUAGAAAAUUUGUUUUUUGAUACUGUUAAGCUUGAGGUCAAUAGAGGUUAGUUUAUAUUCUUGAAGUAAAAAGUAAAAAUCUUUUAGAUAUCAAGAGGAUAACCAAGUGGUUUAAUGCGACUUUCUGGAUUGAUGCUGACGCUGAGGUACGAAGGCAUGGGUAUCAAACGGG